ensembl:lncRNA
UGACACCGUGUAGGUAUCAACCUCAGUCGCAUCAGCGUCAGAUCUCAGAGGUGCAGUGGCGAUUCUCUCUUUUCGGCUCAUCACUGCUCUAAAUUUUAGCCUGCAUUUUCCUGCAUUAAUGGCAGAACAUCUGUGGAGCAUCACAAACUGCAGGAAUCACAAAAUGAGCAGCAAAGAGAACGAGAGUCAGUCUACUGAAGCAGGAGAGAAACAGAGCAAGAGUCAAGUCAGACGGAGCAGCUUUAAUGAAGAAACGCCAAACUUUCUAGCUUCGGAUUCAGACAGACCUGCAGAGAUUCAUUCUGAUGAUUCAAAGAGAGACGCUCACAGACAAGAAGAUAAAUCAUCAAAAGUGUAUUUGAUUUAACACAGUUCUCGUAUUAAAUGAUGCACUUCAAAUGUGGUGUAGUUUCUGGAUUAUGCUCACAGAAGGUGGUGGUAAUGUGCAAUAGUUUGUGUGAUCUGCCAGAAAAAAAAAAUGAAGAUAAUGACGAAAGAUGAAGGUGAUGAAGUAAAAAAGAAGAUGAUGAUGAUUUGUAUUUUCAAUAUGUAUAUCAUGUAAUUAAUGGAUUUGUUUUUGUUUCUGAAACUAUAUAUAUACAGUAUAUAUAUAUAUAUAUAUAUAAUUAAUCCCUGUCCAGCUGUUCCUGUUUAGUUCCCUCAUUUACCUUGUGUGUAUUUAUACUCCAUAUUCUGUUCUGUCCUUUGUCGGUUAUUAUUUAGUGUUAUGUGUUGUACUAGCCCUGUGUUCUCAG